UGCCCCGAGAUGAGUUCUCCCUGACCCUUUAAGGGUCCUGAAGGAACGUUGAAGACGACGACGUUGAUAGGCCGGGUGUGUAAGCGCAGCGAUGCGUUGAGCUAACCGGUACUAAUGAACCGUGAGGCUUAACCUUACAACGCCGAAGCUGUU
rnacentral:rRNA from 1 species